CCAUGUGAGUAAGAAGGGAAGCGGCUGACUCGAGAGACGACCAUGUGAGUAAGAAGGAACUCGUCGUUGGCUGGCUGAUGGUCCGGUGAGUAAGAAGGGAAGCGGCUGCGAGCACGCCACCGGUGUUGGGUCGAUGGUGUCGUGCCUCGGCGGCCGGGGUGAGGCAGAGUAGAUGGGAAGCAGCGGCUCCCCUAUCCCCCGAGCUCCAGAUCCAUGGCGGCAGCAGCAGCAAGGUUUUCCUCUGGAAUAUGGAUAAUUUUAACAUGGAUACUAAACCAGAAGAACAUACGAACUUUGUAACGGACAUAAGAUUCAGACCGAAUUCGACUCAGUUGGCUACAUCAUCUUCUGAUGGAACUGUUCAACUAUGGAACGUUGUUGAAGCAUUUUCUUCUACUUUCUCAAUAUGUGUUUCUCAUUAGUAAUUGUGAAUUUCCUUAUUUGCUGCAAGUUCUGGCUUUUUUUUGGGUGCAUUUCACUGCCUACUAUUGACACUGGAAUGUAAACUUUUGCUCUUUGAUUGUGGCAAGAGAUCAUUGCAAACUUGAGUUACUCUCCUAUGCAUGUUACUGGACCUUUGGAUGAGAUGUGGAUGGAUCAGAUUUAGAAAGAUAAUAGGAGGCACAUAGAUAACCUGUUGACCCGUGAGUUGGCUAUUCCAUUCAUGUGUCUCAUGUCUUUCUAGAUCUUAGUAAGCUAUUACAUGUUUACACCCAAAAUCCCAAAUAUUUGCACUGCAUAUUUCACUUAUAUAUGGGCAUACGUAAGUGACAGUCUUGUAAAUAAGAUGAUGCUCUCCUAUCUUUUAGUGUAAAAGGGGAACACAUUUACCUCUUUUUUUAUCAAGUGUCCAGCUUUUGGAGCUCCACAGAAAACUGAUGUCUUAAAUGUAAAGAGCCGAACUGAAGAUCUAAGCCUUAUUGUACAUUUAGUUCCAAUAUUUUAUUGUUCAAUGUAAUCUGAAAUAAUAUUGUAUCAGGCCAUCGUUUGUAGUGGCUGUCCAGUAACCAAAUUGCAAGUCAAGUACUUUUGAUGAUUAUGGAGUCUAAUGGGUUAAAGCUGACCGAAAGCUAAAAUUGUCUCUUCUUUGGGCAUACAAAAAUUGUUGAUGGAUUUAGUUUGAUUUGUUUAUUACUGUGUGACCCAAUAACUCUGUUCUUUUGUUGUCUGUCUUUUUUUGAUACACAUGAUUGUUGAUUGGACACAAACAGGUUUAGUCAGAUUGAGCUUGAACAUGCAGGUUUAGCAUACAGUUGGUUGAUAUAAUUGUAGGAAACCAAACUUGAAGCAUCAAUUCGCUAAUCAUGUGCGCAUAUAGUUUUAUAUUGACUUAUGUUUCACUUCACCAUGUUAGUAUUAACUGCCUGAUACCUAAAUCCAUCGUUUUGCAGUGAACCGGCGCAUUACAAACAUUUCUUGGGCAUUCCUCCCAUGUGACAUCAGUAGAUUUCCACCCGAAAUUAACAUAGAUUCUAUGCUCGUGUGACAACAAUGGAGAGCUCCGGUUCUGGACAGUUGGUUAAAUUGGAGCUUCAAUACCCCCUCCUACUUCCUCUAGUACGACGUCAGUGUUGGUCCGCUAACCGUCUUGCCCGUUGCCUAAGAAGAGGACUCCCGGGAAGCAUGACGCCGAUGCGACGGGAAAGGACAAGGCGGGGAAGGAUAAGACAUCUGGAUGAGAAGAAAAAGAAGCGCAAGACUGGCAAGGUCGAGACUCAUCUUGAAUUCCCUGGACGUGAAAAGGUCAAAUUUGGUUUAAGUUGUUGAAGCUCCACCAAAGCUAUCAUUCCCAAAGGUCCCUUCUCUUCUCACAUCCUUGUAUGUUAUUAGAUUUGGUUGGGUUCGUAUGAAAGGUUGUAUGAACUUUUGAAGGACGCCCCAUAUACUUCAGUGCUUGUAUGUUUCUCUUAGAUUCUUAUAUGGUCUGAUCUCUUCCCAUAGGAAUUUGACUGUUGGCAUUUGUUGUUACCAAAUAGAUCAAUUUUCAACCAUUUAGAAAUGAGAACUUGACUUCUUGUAAUUGCCAAUUUGGUGUACAUGAUUUGACAAUGAAAAAUAAUGUUAUAUGAUGAAUGAAUGAUGUUUUUAGCAGCCAAAUUGACGUUUCACAUUGGGCUCUCUUAUUCUUACAGCACACUGUUGCUGGGUUUUUUAUGGCUGGAGUAUAGGCAAUGUU